GUCCAGACUCCUACGGGAGGCAGCAGUGGGGAAUAUUGGGCAAUGGGCGCAAGCCUGACCCAGCAAUGCCGCGUGAAGGAAGAAGGCCCUCGGGUUGUAAACUUCUUUUAUCAGGGACGAAGGAUGUGACGGUACCUGAUGAAUAAGCUCCGGCUAACUACGUGCCAGCAGCCGCGGUAAUACGUAGGGAGCAAGCGUUGUCCGGAAUUACUGGGUGUAAAGGGAGCGUAGGCGGGGAUGCAAGUUGGGUGUCAAAACGACCGGCUCAACCGAUAGUCGCACUCAAAACUGCAGCUCUUGAGUGAAGUAGAGGCAGGCGGAAUUCCUAGUGUAGCGGUGAAAUGCGUAGAUAUUAGGAGGAACGCCAGUGGCGAAGGCGGCCUGCUGGGCUUUUACUGACGCUGAGGCUCGAAAGUGUGGGGAGCAAACAGGAUUAGAUACCCCUGUA
rnacentral:rRNA from 1 species